CACGUAGGAUCCGAGCGUUAUCCGAAUUUACUGGGCGUAAAGCGCGUGUAGGCGGUUUAGUAAGUUGGAUGUGAAAGCUCCUGGCUCAACUGGGAGAGGCCGUUCAAAACUACUAAACUAGAGGACGGUAGAGGGAGGUGGAAUUCCCGGUGUAGUAGUGAAAUGCGUAGAUAUCGGGAGGAACACCAGUGGCGAAGGCGGCCUCCUGGACCGUUCCUGACGCUCAGACGCGAAAGCUAGGGGAGCGAACGGG
rnacentral:rRNA from 1 species